GGAAGUAAAGUCGUAACAAGGUUUCCGUAGGUGAACCUGCGGAAGGAUCAUUAUUGUAUAACCGAGGUGCGAGGGCUGUCGCUGACCCGAAAGGUCGUGCACGCCCGAGUGCCCUCACGCACAUCCAUCUCACCCCUAUGUGCACCACCGCGUGGGUCCCCCUUUGGCUUGUUCGGAGGGGGGCUUACGUUUUCACACAAACUUUGUAUGCAGUGUAGAAUGUAUUUUUUGUUUUUGCGAUCACGCAAUCAAUACAACUUUCAACAACGGAUCUCUUGGCUCUC
rnacentral:misc_RNA from 1 species